rnacentral:rRNA from 1 species
UACGGAGGGUGCAAACGUUGCUCGGAAUCAUUGGGCGUAAAGCGCACGUAGGCGGCCUGAUAAGUCGGGUGUGAAAGCCCUGGGCUCAACCCAGGAAGUGCACUCGAAACUGUCAGGCUUGAAUAUGGAAGAGGGUCGCGGAAUUCCCGGUGCAGAGGUGAAAUUCGUAGAUAUCGGGAGGAACACCAGUGGCGAAGGCGGCGACCUGGGCCAAUAUUGACGCUGAGGUGCGAAAGCGUGGGGAGCAAACAGG